AUUGAACGCUGGCGGCAUGCCUUACACAUGCAAGUCGAACGGUAACAGGUUAAGCUGACGAGUGGCGAACGGGUGAGUAAUGUAUCGGAACGUGCCCAGUCGUGUGGGAUAACUGCUCGAAAGAUCAGCUAAUACCGCAUACGACCUGAGGGUGAAAGCGGGGGAUCGCAAGACCUGGCGCGAUUGGAGCGGCCGAUAUCAGAUUAGGUAGUUGGUGAGGUAAAGGCUCACCAAGCCGACGAUCUGUAGCUGGUCUGAGAGGACGAGCAGCCACACUGGGACUGAGACACGGCCCAGACUCCUACGGGAGGCAGCAGUGGGGAAUUUUGGACAAUGGGCGCAAGCCUGAUCCAGCCAUGCCGCGUGCGGGAAGAAGGCCUUCGGGUUGUAAACCGCUUUUGUCAGGGAAGAAAAGGUUCUGGCUAAUACCUGGGACUCAUGACGGUACCUGAAGAAUAAGCACCGGCUAACUACGUG
rnacentral:rRNA from 1 species